rnacentral:tRNA from 1 species
GGUCUAGAAGCGAAAAAUCGCACUAAGUUUCGGCCUUAGACUUGAGUAUUUACUCCUAGGCUU